AUAAAAUUGGAGUUAUUAAGCCUCACAGUUUAGUUAAUGCUUCCAGUCGAGUCUGGGGAAGAAACCAGGAAGCAGAAAACGUCCUAAUAAGAAGAUAAGGUGACCGAAUAAGGGGAUUACUUGGCAGAGAUAUGAGAGAACUGGGUUCUUGACCCCACUUUGCCAUGAACUUGGGGGAAAAUUCACCACUGAGCUCAAGCAUUGUAAGACAUCCUGUUCUAAGGAGGGAUGAGGACAAAUCCUCUACUGUUCCCAACAGUUGCACAGGGCACUGCAUCUACAGUUACCCUGAGAACUACAAGCAGGAGGUGAAAGAGCUGAGUCAGCCAAGGUCAUCUGGGGACCUAUCCACUGGCAGGCAGAGGAGCCUUUCCCUGUGGCCACCACUGCCUUCAGCCCAUAAGGGAGUUUUUCCAGGCUACCUCCGAUGAUCACUUAAAGCUCAACAGCUCUUCAUUCAGCUUGUGGUCAUGUGCAAUCCUAAUACACUGACUCUGAGUCCAGUUCAGCACUAAGAGUUACCAAGAAUUUCAGUCCUUGUGUCCUAGACUGCCUUUCAAGUUUACUUGGAACCCCAAAGCACUUCAGCCUGCUGUGGUGAGGCGUGCUGAGAAACUGAAGUUCAAGCUACUGGGCUGGGUGAUUCUUUUCUGGCUAGGUGAGGUCCAAAUGCUCCCUCUUGCAUGGGGGCUGGCUGAGCCCAGCACGGCUUUGCUCUCUGCUGUGACAGGGCAGCACUGAAUUCAAUGUAAAGUCCUCCAGUUCUGUGCUCUCCCUCCCCAAGUGCACAGACUCUCUCCCAACAGCAUGGCUGCUGCCAGGGGAAAUAUUAAGAAUGGUGUAGGAGAUUCAAGACUGUCUGUCUUACUUUCUUCAGUGACAUGAAGUUAAAACCAGGUAGUCUCCUUUAGUGACAUGAAGUUCAAACCAGCUGGUCUAAUUGCUCACCUGAUUUUUGAUUCUUAUGAUGGUUCUUUUCUAUGUGCAGAUAGUUGUUAAAAUUUGGUGUUAUUGUCAGGAUGAAGAGUGUAGACUUCUAUUCCACAAUCUUGCUCUACCCACUUCCUGCCCCCAGUUGAGAUUCUUGCAUUUUUGGGUUAUAGUUGUAUUAAAUUUGAAAAAAAUGUAGUUAUUAUUACAUCAAAUAAUUUUGCUAUCCUGUCUUCACCCUUCAUGGGCUACAAGUUGAAGUAUAUUAGGUUGCUUGACAUUUUCCCAGAGCUCACUUGUGCUCUGUUCAUUGAAAAUUGUUUCUAAAAAUUGGAACCACUUAAAAUUCUAUCCAAACAAUUCUGUAAUCAAAGAGAAGAUUAAAAAACAAAUGGAAGGAUGUCAAGAAAAUAAUAAUAACUCAGUAUGUAUCAGUCUAUGGUCAGUACAAAUUUACUAAGAAGAAAAUAGAAUAAAAAUAAUGAGUU
rnacentral:lncRNA from 10 species